AAAUUCUGGAUCUAUGAAUGCCCCGCCCACUACUGCUGCGUGUUAGGUUGACUGGUGCCGGUGAGAGCAUGGAUGUGGGUGAGAGGCAUACAUCCAUGAUGAGAGAGCGAUGCACAACGCGUCAAGAUGGCUAGAGUUAGCGGAAACUUCGAUGAGAUUCUGCCAUACAUGUUUGAGCAACUAGCAGAAGUAUCAGAAUGUAGCUCUACCUGGAAAACAAGAUCAUGCUCUGAUGGAGACACUUACCGCAGAGACGGCUAACUCCAUCCCCAGGGAGACCCAGCUGAUCACCAGAGCCACUACGCCAAACAAGCACACCCUGGGGAGAGCAAGAGGAGUUGAAAAGUUUAAGUAUCUCCUACCUGCAGUGUUGGAGCAAUACUAUCCAUAUGUACAACAAUUCAUACAGUGUAGAGCGAGAUAUGUUUAAACUAAUUAAGUUGGUCCUUUAGUAUGUGUCAACUGUUCACAUGCAUCACAUUGGACCAGUUUUCUUUUGAAAGUAACAGAUUAUACAAACUAUUUUAAGUUAGAUGCAGCUAAAUAAUGAUGUGCUGGAAACUGUAUGGGAAAAGUGUGGAACAGGAAAAAAACAAGCUGGCUGAAUCACCAUAGAAGACUCUAAGAUACUAAAUUAACCAUUGUUGAAAAUAAAAAUACAAGGCAAUUAACAACAAGCAUUGCCAUACUGUGUAUAUAACUUACUAUGUACAAAUGAAGUGUGUGACUACAUAUUUGGCAUAGAGAUGCCUUUUUGCCUUCAUCUGCCAUUAAAAGAAAAACUGAUCAAAAAUGCA